AGUCUCUUUCAGCACACACAAGUGAGAGAUGAGGAGUGAGGCUCAGGGCUUGGACACAAGCCUGUGACGGUUUGCAUUGAGCUACAAAGAUGCUGAAGGCAGUGGAAGAUCUUCCUUAGGAGGAGAGCCUGAGGGAGCUGGGGCUGUGCUGCUGGCAGAGGAGGAGCCUGAGGGGGGACCUCAUGGAUGGUUAUUAAAGAUGUGCAGGUAAACAUGGAAGAUACUUCUGAUCCAAAGGAAGAAAAGUGAAGGGCUGCAAGGUGCCACACCAGCGGUUAUCCAGCCGUGGAGCGCGAAUGACAGCGGCGAGGAUGCGAACCGCAGCAUGGGUGAGAUGCUGCUUUUGCAUCGUGUGGGUGAGUUUGGUACUCAGGAAAGCAGGGGACUGAGGAGCAUUGGUUUCAGCCAGACCUUGCAAAGCAGGUGCUACACCACGCUUCCAUCACCCAGCCCUCCAGCCUCCACCAGUUCUGCCUUGCCUGCCCCAGCCCAGUUCUCCCCGAUGCUGCGCUACCCACCGCUCAGCACCUCCCAGGAGGUGGGAAGUGCCCCCGGUUACGAGUGACUUCAGUGCUGGCUGAGGGCACCUCGAGCCUCGUAGGAGGAAUUCAUGCCUUGGCAAAAAAAAUUGCUAUUUAAA